rnacentral:rRNA from 1 species
CAAAGGAAGUUGACGGGGCCCGCACAAGCGUGGAGUAUGUGGUUUAAUUCGAUGCAACGCGAAGAACCUUACCUGGUCUUGACAUCCCGGAGACCCUUAGGAAACUAGGGGUGCUUCCAUCUGGAAGAAUCUGGAGACAGGUGCUGCAUGGCUGUCGUCAGCUCGUGUCGUGAGAUGUUGGGUUAAGUCCCGCAACGAGCGCAACCCUUGCCUUUAGUUGCCAGCAGUUCGGCUGGGCACUCUAAAGGGACUGCCGGUGUUAAACCGGAGAAAGGUGGGGAUGACGUCAAGUCCUCAUGGCCUUUAUGACCAGGGCUACACACGUACUACAAUGGCCGAUACAAAGGGCAGCGACACUGCGAGGUGAAGCCAAUCCCGUAAAAUCGGUCUCAGUCCGGAUUGGAGUCUGCAACUCGACUCCAUGAAGUUGGAAUCGCUAGUAAUCGUGGAUCAGCAUGCCACGGUGAAUACGUUCCCGGGCCUU